CCGAGUGCCUCACGGACUCCAGACCAUGCUGAUGCCCUCACUUCACCUUAAUCUGUGUCCACAGACUGCAUCUAGCCGCAGCAAGGUGCAUGUUGUAAGUGCAUCUGGUCACCAGGGGCCAGGUUACAGAGAGCGAUUCGCUGUACACACACAGUGGUGCCAGAACACACCCUGCACAUGCACCAUCCUGGACAGUCCAUUCUGACGUGGACCUUCCUCUUAAAACAGUCCACCAUUCUGACGUGGACCUUUCUCCUAAACAGUCUACCAUUCCGAUGUGGACCUUCCCCCUGAGCCAGCACCUGGACAGUCCACCAUUGUGACGUGGACCUCCCUCCCGAGCCAGCACCUGGACAGUCCACCAUUGUGACGUGGACCUCCCUCCCGAGCCACUACCCGGACAGUCCACCAUUGUGACGUGGACCUCCCUCCCGAGCCAGCACCUGGACAGUCCACCAUUGUGACGUGGACCUCCCUCCUGAGCCACUACCUGGACAGUCCACCAUUGUGACGUGGACCUCCCUCCUGAGCCAGCACCUGGACAGUCCACCAUUGUGACGUGGACCUCCCCCCUGAGCCACUACCCGGACAGUCCACCAUUGUGACGUGGACCUCCCUCCCGAGCCAGCACCCGGACAGUCCACCAUUGUGACGUGGACCUCCCUCCCGAGCCAGUACCCGGACAGUCCACCAUUGUGACGUGGACCUCCCUCCUGAGCCAGUACCUGGACAGUCCACCAUUGUGACGUGGACCUCCCUCCCGAGCCACUACCCGGACAGUCCACCAUUGUGACGUGGACCUCCCUCCCGAGCCAGCACCUGGACAGUCCACCAUUGUGACGUGGACCUCCCUCCCGAGCCACUACCCGGACAGUCCACCAUUGUGACGUGGACCUCCCUCCUGAGCCACUACCUGGACAGUCCACCAUUGUGACGUGGACCUCCCUCCCGAGCCAGCACCUGGACAGUCCACCAUUGUGACGUGGACCUCCCUCCUGAGCCACUACCUGGACAGUCCACCAUUGUGACGUGGACCUCCCCCCUGAGCCAGUACCUGGACAGUCCACCAUUCCGAUGCGGACCUUCCUCCUGAGCCAGCACCCAGCGUGCUGCUCCUGAGAAAUCAUUCGUCAACUGAUUUUGGAGUUACUGCUUCAGCAUCUUGCUGAUUACUAAUAGAUUUCCUCAUUGUUAAAUUUAGAUGCAGGGAGAAAAAACAAUUUCCAGAAAUAAUUCACCCUGUUGGGAAGCCAGACACCUAGUACUGUCUCUAACUCAGCAACUAACUGUGUGGUUUCGGGUGAAUCACACAGUCCUGUGCGUUGGUCUAGAUGUUUUCUCAGGUCCCUUUGGGCAAGAAUACAGCCA
rnacentral:lncRNA from 1 species